UUAGGUCACACUUCCACGCCUACUGAUCUUCUGUCCACUUGGUAGCUCACUUACAGCAUACCAACUACAGUCGACUACAGAGGCACUUUUAGCUCUCUCACUAUUAAGGCAGCGAGGAGGUAUAAGCAAGAGUAUGCAGGUGAGCUACCCCACAUCCUGACAAGGCUGCCUUGGUGAUGGAUGAGAUGCAAGGGAACUGGGUGUGUGCAGCAGCCCAGGGACAGUGCAAGAGGGGACAAAGACCACACAUUUGACAGAACUUGGCUAUACUGUAAUGGUGUUGAAACAGCCACGAGGAUGAAGACGCUAUCCUCAGGCGGGUACCUACCUCAGUGUGGUGUGGAAGAUGCUGUCCUCAGGUCUUAGCAAGCACAAGAGAGAAGACAGAGCCAAGGCCCAUCAGCACAGUACCUCUGAGCUUCCGCCUGUCUCCUAAAAGGUUGCUGUUUCCCGCGGUGAGGAACAAGAGCUAGAAAGAAUGAACGGGAGAUACCUGUACACUCAGCCUGCCUCCAAGUUCUUUGUUGCAUUUGGCCUGGAUGUGAGUGAAGAGGGGUCUCAUGGUGCAUGCUCGGUAGAGGAACAAACCAAAUGAAAUGAUAUACCAGGCAGUUAUCAAAACAGUAUGAGCUACAACCUGGAUACUAACAAAGCUUUUGUCCUAGAAGAACACAUUUAAUCAAAAUUCUGGGUGGUUGAGGAAUUACAGUGACUGGGUGGAGCUCCUGCCCAAAAGAGGUUUGUCUGUGUCAUCUUGACAAACAGGAGUAGCCAGAAAGCUUGGGGCUCUGAGACAGCUGUGAGGGACACCACAGGAUGGCAGGUGAGUGACCCAGAUUCUCCCACUAAGUAGCGGGUCAGGGUUAGGACUUCAGAGGAGUGUUUGCAUCUCCAGAUCCAGGAGAGCAGGGUGAAGUGGGACUGAUGAGAUCAGAGGAAGAGGGAGGAGAAGGAGAGGCAGCGAGGAGUGACCAGGACUCUGGUCCCAAGAGGAUGACAUAGAAUCACUCAACCCAUGUCUGCCUAUCCUACCCAUGAACAAGAUGCUGAGGGACAGAGGGAGAGGGGUGGGGAAUGCUGAGAGAGAGGAAAGGAACAUUCAUUGUCUGCUGCUAACUGCAUGCCACAUGUGUGAUGUCUGUAAUGUGGCAAGCCCACUUCAGUGAGGAACUGUUUUCUGGAAUUCCCUUUUCAGAACAAACUUGCCAGAUGGAAUUCUGAACUUGUGUUUGAUGGUAUGUCAGUCACCAGAGGAGCUGUGAACUUGUGUGUUCUAUCUCACCUGUAAAUGGGGGAGAAGCUAAGUUCCCCUGUGCUUUUUAACAUGCACCCUGACUGCCUUUUUCUCCUGGGUGUGGCACCUGCCACUUGUCACCAGAAAGGGCCACCAGGAGAGGAAGAACUAGAACUGCAGGGCGGGUGCAUGCCAGUCAUGCUGACCUGCUUUGUAUCGGGCCCCCAGGAGGCUUCGGGGCAGGAGGUGGGGAGCUUGACACAAAAUGAGAGCUUCUGGAAAGCUUUUUAGGAAGUCUAUAAUUCAGUGGCUUUUAGUAUGUUUACAGAGUUGAGGAACUGUCAGCAAAACCAAUCCAAGAAUGUUUCGUCAUCCCCAGAGAAGUCCUCACGUUCUAGCAACACCCUAAACCUUCUCGGUGUGGUCUCCCCGCCCCCAGCAGUGCCCAUCUGUUUCUGUCUGUAUAUUUGCCUGCUUUAUGUUUUGAACAGAUGGGAUCACAUCCCAGGUUCUCUUCUCUGUCUUUCCUUUAGCAUUGUGUUUUUGUUAUUUUUCCCUCCUUCCUCACAUGGUGCUGGAGAUGGAACCCACGUGCCAGGCCAGUGCUCUACACCCUAGCUACACACCCAGGCUGAGCGAGGACCAGAGAGUGCAAAGUAGGUGGCUUAGGAGUUAUAGGAGCAGACUCUGCCAACUGUGAACUGAGCGUCACUUCUCCCCUUCAGUGUCCCCUCUGAACCAAGUCUCCUAUGGAAUGUCUGUAAGACCUUCUGGGCCUGGUGGCCAAAGACUGACACUGUCCUGGGACUUCUGGCCCCAAAGACCACAGAGGACCCUAGGGUGGUUGUCCAGGUAGCCAACUGGGGCUUAGGCUCUGAGAGCACCAGUUUCCUGUGUGACCAUGGUACAAAGGGUGAUGGAGCAAACAGCCAUCCUGAGGACCUCCUCCUGACCUGCUCUACUUCACAGUGAAAAUGUGACUGAAAUAACCCACAAGAGGACACCUGUCCAAAACCCAAGGGAAGGAUCUCUGAGGAGGAACAGGUUACCAGACUCCUGGAAGUGACUGCAACCCUGCCCACAUAUGGUCCAUAUUCUGGCUGGUCACUACCUGGCAAACUCAGAAACAGUGACUUUCCUUCCCAGAGAGCACUGUGGGUGUCUGGACUCCCAUCUACUAAGGCCCUUGGGGAGGAGUGCUGACUAUAUCAUUGGUUCCCAUCAGCAUGAUAUGUAUCCACUGGUACUCAGUGGUGUCCACUGACUCAGUGGUAAAGGCAGUCAGGUUUACUCUAAACUCUCUGACCUCCAUAGCAGGUGGGCUAGUUAAAGUUCUAUCCUCUGUAAGACUGUUCCCGCUCCAGGUACAGUCUUAGACUCUGGCUUUACCUAACCACCAGCUAUAAAUCUGGGAGCUCCAAGGACCUCCUCAGAUUCAAUACUUAAUUUACUAGUCUGACCCACAGAUGCACCAAGAGCUGUACUUGGGAAUCGUAGCUAGAAUUUGUCCUAGAGCAGUGAUGCUUUGACCAUCUAGUCAAAUGCCAGGGAGGGAUCAACUUCUGAUCACAUAGUUCAGGAUAGGUGAAAACAGCUACCUUACUGAAAACGAGGAUGGCUUCCUAGGAGGUUUAAUGUAAGGACCCAUGGGACACUUAGUGGAGUCUCUGACUUGGACUCAGUGAUCAGUGCAAGAAAACUGUCUUUUGCUAACUGGAAACAGAUGGAAAACAGGAAGUCCUCCAUGGUGAGGGUGGGGAUGGGAGUGUUCUCCCAAAGUGGGAUGAUGUGUCCACUGGUGUGGUCAUGUGGGAACCCUGGCAAUGUUUAGUAGGGUUGAACUUGCAUUUACAGGUGGGGGAUCAACAGAAAUGCAAACCAAGUGCACCAAGCUGUGUGUGUGAGAGCUCAGAGCAAUUUGUCCACCAUGCCCCAGACCUGGAAACCACUUAGAUGUACACCAGCACUGGGUCUCACAGUAGGACACACGGAGUGUGAAGAGCAGGCUGUGUCACACAUCACAUGGGUAAUCUCACAACAUGAUGGAGAGUGAGAAAGAAAAGAGAUGAGUUCCCAUGUGAGAAGCAGCAACACAGAGGUCAUACUUGCUGGCCUGUGACAAGUCUGGGCCAGUUGGCAUCUGGCUGUUGAAAUGGCUAGUAUUUAACCCAGUGGCCCUGGCAUAGGGCUUGUCAAGCUGUGUACAAUACUAUGUGUGCAUCAUGAUAAAUCUAUUAUAAUUCAAUAAAUAUUUUUGAGACAGGG